rnacentral:rRNA from 1 species
UACGUAGGUGACAAGCGUUGUCCGGAUUUACUGGGCGUAAAGAGCGCGCAGGCGGUCGUUCAAGUCGAGUGUGAAAGCCCCCGGCUCAACUGGGGAGGGUCAUUCGAUACUGAUCGACUCGAAGGCAGGAGAGGGAAGUGGAAUUCCCGGUGUAGCGGUGAAAUGCGCAGAUAUCAGGAAGAACACCAAUGGCGAAGGCAGCUCUCUGGGACGGUACUGACGCUGAGACGCGAAAGCGUGGGGAGCGAACAGG